AUCCAGCUGACGAGUUGCAAGUAGGACGAAACGCACAUCAUGGAU
rfam:Schistosoma haematobium scaffold465_1, whole genome shotgun sequence.